rnacentral:lncRNA from 1 species
AACUUAUUCCAACUAGGCUCAUAAGUUCCUUUCUUAUAAGUGCUUCACAGAUAUAUGGUUUACAAGGAAAUAAUUUAACCACAAAUUUUGGUUGAACCUACAAAUUAAAACUUCAUAAGUAGCUUUUCACGAUUCUCUCUUUAGUUUGUUCCUCUCUUGAUGGUUCAUUAGUACUUUCGGAUGAAGAGACCAUUGAUAAUUUUAAACUUAUUAUUUAAGAGGGUAUCACUUUAGGGUAUCUUCUCAUUCUAUAUGUCAUUUUGUAGCUCUUAUUCAAAAAAUUUUGAU